UACGUAGGUGGCAAGCGUUGUUCGGAAUUAUUGGGCGUAAAGGGCGCGUAGGCGGUUUGUUAAGUCGGCUGUGAAAGCCCGGGGCUUAACCCCGGGCGUGCAGUGGAUACGGGCCGGCUGGAGGCAGGCAGGGGAGAAUGGAAUUCCCGGUGUAGCGGUAAAAUGCGCAGAUAUCGGGAGGAACACCGGUGGCGAAGGCGGUUCUCUGGGCCUGUACUGACGCUGAGGAGCGAAAGCGUGGGGAGCGAACAGG
rnacentral:rRNA from 1 species